UGUGGCCUACGGGGCGCAGCAGUGAGGAAUAUUGGUCAAUGGGCGCGAGCCUGAACCAGCCACGUCGCGUGAGGGAAGACGGUCCUAUGGAUUGUAAACCUCUUUUGUCGGGGAGCAAAAGACGCCACGCGUGGCGUUCCGAGAGUACCCGAAGAAAAAGCAUCGGCUAACUCCGUGCCAGCAGCCGCGGUAAUACGGAGGAUGCGAGCGUUAUCCGGAUUUAUUGGGUUUAAAGGGUGCGUAGGCGGAUUUUUAAGUCAGCGGUAAAAUGUCCGGGCUCAACCCGGGCCGGCCGUUGAAACUGG
rnacentral:rRNA from 1 species